GACGAACGCUGGCGGCGUGCUUAACACAUGCAAGUCGAACGGAAAGGCCCUGCUUUUGUGGGGUGCUCGAGUGGCGAACGGGUGAGUAACACGUGAGUAACCUGCCCUUGACUUUGGGAUAACUUCAGGAAACUGGGGCUAAUACCGGAUAGGAGCUCCUGCUGCAUAGUGGGGGUUGGAAAGUUUCGGCGGUUGGGGAUGGACUCGCGGCUUAUCAGCUUGUUGGUGGGGUAAUGGCUUACCAAGGCUUUGACGGGUAGCCGGCCUGAGAGGGUGACCGGCCACAUUGGGACUGAGAUACGGCCCAGACUCCUACGGGAGGCAGCAGUGGGGAAUAUUGCACAAUGGGCGGAAGCCUGAUGCAGCAACGCCGCGUGCGGGAUGACGGCCUUCGGGUUGUAAACCGCUUUCGCCUGUGACGAAGCGUGAGUGACGGUAAUGGGUAAAGAAGCACCGGCUAACUACGUG
rnacentral:rRNA from 1 species